ACAGUCAUUCAUUUACAUAUUGUACGGUUUGCUCUGAUUAACAAGCGUGUGGUUUUAUUUUCAUAUAAAAAAGCCCUGAAUUACAAAGCAUUUUGACAGAACGGUAUCAUAUUUAGACGGGGUAAAGCAGUUUGAAUUGAUUUCUAUAAAGCAAAAUGGCGGUAAAACUACAUUUGUUAGUUCCUGGUAUAUUUUUUGUAUUGGUGUGUGUUAUUGGGACAAAGGCAUUUGGGUCAUACACUGCUGUUUGCGGUGGAAGCACAUAUGACACCAGAUUCAGAAUAUGUUGCGAGGGACGACUUAACAUCAGAUCCGGCAUCAGUCCAGCUUGCUGUGGUACAACCAGUUACGAUUACAGCACUAGAAUAUGUUGCGGGGGACGAAUUAACAUCAGAUCCGGCAUCAGUCCAGCUUGCUGUGGUACAACCAGUUACGAUUACAGCACUAGAAUAUGUUGCGGGGGACGAAUUAACAUCAGAUCCGGCAUCAGUCCAGCUUGCUGUGGUACGACCAGUUACGAUGCCCGCUUCAGGAAUUGCUGCGGCAAUAGGGUGUGUUAAUUGUUAUAAAAGGGCUACUAUCUGCCCGGCGAUUAUGAAGAAAUCUCCAGUGCAAAAGGAAUUUCAUUUUAGUAUGAGAGAGCAAAGAGACGUUAUAAAGAUAUGGAAUUGUUAUACAUGUACACUCCGUGGCGAAUCAGCCCCCUAACACAACAAAACUACUUAGUAUCUCCACGUAAACUUAAAGCUGUGCUUUCGUAGAAAAAUAAACUGAUUUACAUUUAA